rnacentral:lncRNA from 1 species
ACCGAACUAGCACCAAUAAUAAAUCUCACGUAGCAAAAAUAGAUUGUGCCAAGAUAACGCAUUGACAUAGUCUCAUAAUGGAUUACAACUACUAACCAUGAUACCAGCGCGUGCCGAGCAGCACAACCGUGUGUGCGCACACACAGAGGGCCCUCGGUUUCGUCACGACACCACAGGUUUUAGCCAUAAUGUCAUUACCAGACGUAACCAAUAAGAAAUCUCGCGCGAUACAAAUGAAUUGAACAAGGGUGACAAUAUACAAGGAGAUACUCCACCUGUAAGAAUGGUUACAAGUAGAGAGCCAAAUAGAUUAUGGCCCAAGGAAAUGAACAAAACAUGGCCAUAACCUAAACUUGAUGAAAGGAGUACGAUGGGAGACUGUUAAUUCAGCCCCAAGCAUAUUUCUAUGCCCAUCAUAGAGAUUACAAGGUCAAGGAUGAGUAUCUGAUUAGAUACGGAGGUAAAACAAUCAUAAGAUUAAGUUGGUAGGCCUUCAAUAGAGAUGGGGAAUCCAAAGGCAUCAAACUUUAAGAAAAUGGUCGGACAAGCUUUUCCUAGGUUAGGUUAAUAAGGCGACAAGAUGAUCCACAAGGAGAGGCCGAAUACAAUAGGGACCUCAACCUGCAUCAACUGAACAAGGGAAUGGUUCUAAAAGGAGACAUGACUUGAGAUCCUUUUUUUUAAGCUUAGGUACAUUUUAUGUCCAAUAAGGAAAUUGUCUAAGCAUUCAUUUACAUGAUUUUAGUCAAGGAGGGAUAAUGGU